rnacentral:rRNA from 1 species
AGUGAACGCUGGCGGUAGGCCUAACACAUGCAAGUCGAACGGCAGCACAGUAAGAGCUUGCUCUUACGGGUGGCGAGUGGCGGACGGGUGAGGAAUACAUCGGAAUCUACUUUUUCGUGGGGGAUAACGUAGGGAAACUUACGCUAAUACUGCAUACGACCUACGGGUGAAAGCAGGGGAUCUUCGGACCUUGCGCGAUUGAAUGAGCCGAUGUCGGAUUAGCUAGUUGGCGGGGUAAAGGCCCACCAAGGCGACGAUCCGUAGCUGGUCUGAGAGGAUGAUCAGCCACACUGGAACUGAGACACGGUCCAGACUCCUACGGGAGGCAGCAGUGGGGAAUAUUGGACAAUGGGCGCAAGCCUGAUCCAGCCAUACCGCGUGGGUGAAGAAGGCCUUCGGGUUGUAAAGCCCCUUUGUUGGGAAAGAAAAGCAGCAGGUUAAUACCCCGCUGUUCUGACGGUACCCAAAGAAUAAGCACCGGCUAACUUCGUG